rnacentral:misc_RNA from 1 species
GAUGAAUAACGUAGCGAAAUGCGAUAAGUAAUGUGAAUUGCAGAAUUCAGUGAAUCAUCGAGUCUUUGAACGCACAUUGCGCCCCCUGGUAUUCCGGGGGGCAUGCCUGUCCGAGCGUCAUUGCUGCCCUCAAGCACGGCUUGUGUGUUGGGCCCCCGUCCCCGGUUUCCCCCGGGGACGGGCCCGAAAGGCAGCGGCGGCACCGCGUCCGGUCCUCGAGCGUAUGGGGCUUUGUCACCCGCUCUGUAGGCCCGGCCGGCGCCAGCCGACACCCAACUUUAUUUCUAAGGUUGACCUCGGAUCAGGUAGGGAUACCCGCUGAACUUAAGCAUAUCAAUAAGCGGAGGA